UCCCCUAGUAACGGCGAGUGAAGCGGGAAGAGCUCAAGCUUAAAAUCUCCAUAUCUUUGAUAUGGCGAAUUGUAGUCUAUAGAAGCGAUUAUCAGCAUAGCAAUAUGGGAAAAGUCCCUUGGAAAAGGGCAGCAUAGAGGGUGAUACUCCCGUCUUUGCCCAGGUUGUCUAUGUGUACGAUACGUUUUCUUUGAGUCGAGUUGUUUGGGAAUGCAGCUCAAAGUAGGUGGUAAAUUCCAUCUAAAGCUAAAUAUUGGUGCAAGACCGAUAGCGAACAAGUACCGUGAGGGAAAGAUGAAAAGAACUUUGAAAAGAGAGUUAAAGAGUACCUGAAACUGUUGAAAGGGAACCGUAACAUGUCCAGUGUUGUAUCUCUUAUAUAUUUCAUUAGUACAGCAAUGCACUGGUGCCCUGUAUAAGAGUGUGACGUCAAAGUCAGUUUGUAUAUUGCGGGAGAUGGUUAGUAAGGAGGUGCGUCACUUUUGUGUCAGUUAUACCUUAUUAUCUAGUAGCCGUGGUAGAGACUGAGGUGCCUACAACAUGCUUUUCAAGUCUAUGUUUGUCUCGUUGUUCUAUUUGUUUGGAUAGCUUGCUAUGCUAAUGAACUAGAGUAGCGAUUGAUAGAUAUAGUAACUUGUUGCUGUUCGGGACUUUGAC
rnacentral:rRNA from 1 species